CAGCAGCCGCGGGAACACGGAGGGGGCUAGCGUUGUUCGGAAUUACUGGGCGUAAAGCGCACGUAGGCGGCUUGGUAAGUUAGAGGUGAAAGCCUGGAGCUCAACUCCAGAAUUGCCUUUAAGACUGCCGAGCUAGCAGGUGAGAGAGGUAAGUGGAAUUCCGAGUGUAGAGGUGAAAUUCGUAGAUAUUCGGAAGAACACCAGUGGCGAAGGCGGCUUACUGGCUCAUACUGGACGCUGAGGUGCGAAAGCGUGGGGAGCAAACAGGAUUAGAUACCCCUGUAGUCCCUGUCUCUUAUAC
rnacentral:rRNA from 1 species